rnacentral:rRNA from 1 species
UACGUAGGGUGCAAGCGUUAAUCGGAAUUACUGGGCGUAAAGCGUGCGCAGGCGGCUUUGCAAGACAGAUGUGAAAUCCCCGGGCUUAACCUGGGAACUGCAUUUGUGACUGCAUGGCUGGAGUGCGGCAGAGGGGGAUGGAAUUCCGCGUGUAGCAGUGAAAUGCGUAGAUAUGCGGAGGAACACCGAUGGCGAAGGGCAGCCUUCUGGGCCAAUACUGACGCCUCAUGCACGAAAGCGUGGGGAGCAAACAGG